rnacentral:rRNA from 1 species
UACGUAGGGACCGAGCGUUGUUCGGAUUUACUGGGCGUAAAGGGCGCGUAGGCGGCCCCGCAAGUCACUUGUGAAAUCUCUGGGCUUAACCCAGAACGGCCAAGUGAAACUGCAGGGCUAGAGUGUAGAAGGGGCAAUCGGAAUUCUUGGUGUAGCGGUGAAAUGCGUAGAUAUCAAGAGGAACACCUGAGGUGAAGACGGGUUGCUGGUCUAACACUGACGCUGAGGCGCGAAAGCCAGGGGAGCAAACGGG